AUCCUUUUCUAGUUCAUAAUCACAACGAUUGGGUUUCCAUGCUCACGCGUGAGUUCUAUCUCCCUCCAAUCUUGUUACGACAUUGGUACAUUACCCGUCUGCUG
ensembl:snoRNA